UACGUAGGGUGCAAGCGUUGUCCGGAAUCAUUGGGCGUAAAGCGCGCGUAGGUGGCUUUGUAAGUCCGUUGUGAAAGUCAGAGGCUCAACCUUUGAAUGCCGAUGGAUACUGCGGAGCUAGAGUACGGAAGAGGCGAGUGGAAUUCCUGGUGUAGCGGUGGAAUGCGCAGAUAUCAGGAGGAACACCAAUAGCGAAGGCAGCUCGCUGGGACGUUACUGACACUAAGGCGCGAAAGCGUGGGGAGCGAACGAGGA
rnacentral:rRNA from 1 species